rnacentral:rRNA from 1 species
GGUUAAGCGAAUAAGCGUACACGGUGGAUGCCUAGGCAAUCAGAGGCGAUGAAGGACGUGCUAAUCUGCGAAAAGCGUCGGUAAGGUGAUAUGAACCGUUAUACCCGACGAUAUCCGAAUGGGGAAACCCAGUAUCCAAUGGAUACUAUCAUUAACUGAAUCCAUAGGUUAAUGAGGCGAACCGGGAGAACUGAAACAUCUCAGUACCCCGAGGAAAAGAAAUCAACCGAGAUUCCCCUAGUAGCGGCGAGCGAACGGGGAGCAGCCCAGAGUCUUAAUCAAUAACAGUGUCAGGAGAACGGUCUGGAAAGUCCGGCAGUAAAGGGUGAUAGCCCCGUAUCUGAAGAUGCUGUUAUUGUGAACUCGACGAGUAGGGCGGGACACGUGUUAUCCUGUCUGAAUAUGGGGGGACCAUCCUCCAAGGCUAAAUACUCCUGAUUGACCGAUAGUGAACCAGUACCGUGAGGGAAAGGCGAAAAGAACCCCGGCGAGGGGAGUGAAAAAGAACCUGAAACCGUGUACGUACAAGCAGUAGGAGCCUCUUUAUGGGGUGACUGCGUACCUUUUGUAUAAUGGGUCAGCGACUUAUAUUCUGUAGCAAGGUUAACCGUAUAGGGGAGCCGUAGGGAAACCGAGUCUUAACUGGGCGAAUGAGUUGCAGGGUAUAGACCCGAAACCCGGUGAUCUAUCCAUGGGCAGGUUGAAGGUUGGGUAACACUAACUGGAGGACCGAACCGACUAAUGUUGAAAAAUUAGCGGAUGACUUGUGGAUGGGGGUGAAAGGCCAAUCAAACCGGGAGAUAGCUGGUUCUCCCCGAAAGCUAUUUAGGUAGCGCCUCGUGAACUCAUCUUCGGGGGUAGAGCACUGUUUCGACUAGGGGGUCAUCCCGACUUACCAACUCGAUGCAAACUGCGAAUACCGAAGAAUGUUAUCACGGGAGACACACGGCGGGUGCUAACGUCCGUCGUGAAGAGGGAAACAACCCAGACCGCCAGCUAAGGUCCCAAAGUCAUGGUUAAGUGGGAAACGAAGUGGGAAGGCUCAGACAGCCAGGAUGUUGGCUUAGAAGCAGCCAUCAUUUAAAGAAAGCGUAAUAGCUCACUGGUCGAGUCGGCCCGCGCGGAAGAUGUAACGGGGCUAAACCAUGCACCGAAGCUGCGGCAGCGACACAAAGUGUUGUUGGGUAGGGGAGCGUUCUGUAAGCCUGCGAAGGUGUACUGUGAGGUAUGCUGGAGGUAUCAGAAGUGCGAAUGCUGACAUAAGUAACGAUAAUGCGGGUGAAAAACCCGCACGCCGGAAGACCAAGGGUUCCUGUCCAACGUUAAUCGGGGCAGGGUGAGUCGACCCCUAAGGCGAGGCUGAAAAGCGUAGUCGAUGGGAAACGGGUUAAUAUUCCCGUACUGGUGGUAACUGCGAUGGGGGAACGGAGAAGGCUAGGUUGUCCGGGCGACGGUCGUCCCGGUUCAAGCAGGUAGGCAGAGUGAUUAGGCAAAUCCGGUCACUUAAUGCUGAGAUGUGAUGACGAACCACUAAGGUGGUGAAGCAAUUGAUGCCCCGCUUCCAGGAAAAGCCUCUAAGCUUCAGGUUACCAACAAUCGUACCCCAAACCGACACAGGUGGUCAGGUAGAGAAUACUCAGGCGCUUGAGAGAACUCGGGUGAAGGAACUAGGCAAAAUGGUGCCGUAACUUCGGGAGAAGGCACGCUGGCGGUAGGUAAAGUCCCUCGCGGACGGCGCUGAAGCCAGUCGAAGAUACCAGCUGGCUGCAACUGUUUAUUAAAAACACAGCACUGUGCAAACACGAAAGUGGACGUAUACGGUGUGACGCCUGCCCGGUGCUGGAAGGUUAAUUGAUGGGGUCAGCCGCAAGGCGAAGCUCCUGAUCGAAGCCCCAGUAAACGGCGGCCGUAACUAUAACGGUCCUAAGGUAGCGAAAUUCCUUGUCGGGUAAGUUCCGACCUGCACGAAUGGCGUAAUGAUGGCCAGGCUGUCUCCACCCGAGACUCAGUGAAAUUGAACUCGCUGUGAAGAUGCAGUGUACCCGCGGCAAGACGGAAAGACCCCGUGAACCUUUACUAUAGCUUGACACUGAACAUUGAGCCUUGAUGUGUAGGAUAGGUGGGAGGCUUUGAAGUGUGGACGCCAGUCUGCAUGGAGCCAACCUUGAAAUACCACCCUUUAACGUUUGAUGUUCUAACCUAGGCCCAUAAACUGGGUCGGGGACCGUGUCUGGUGGGUAGUUUGACUGGGGCGGUCUCCUCCUAAAGAGUAACGGAGGAGCACGAAGGUUGGCUAAGCAUGGUCGGACAUCAUGCGGUUAGUGCAAAGGCAUAAGCCAGCUUGACUGCGAGAGUGACGGCUCGAGCAGGUACGAAAGUAGGUCUUAGUGAUCCGGUGGUUCUGAAUGGAAGGGCCAUCGCUCAACGGAUAAAAGGUACUCCGGGGAUAACAGGCUGAUACCGCCCAAGAGUUCAUAUCGACGGCGGUGUUUGGCACCUCGAUGUCGGCUCAUCACAUCCUGGGGCUGAAGUAGGUCCCAAGGGUAUGGCUGUUCGCCAUUUAAAGUGGUACGCGAGCUGGGUUUAGAACGUCGUGAGACAGUUCGGUCCCUAUCUGCCGUGGGCGUUGGAAGAUUGAGAGGGGUUGCUCCUAGUACGAGAGGACCGGAGUGAACGCACCACUGGUGUUCGGGUUGUCAUGCCAAUGGCAUUGCCCGGUAGCUAAGUGCGGAAGAGAUAACCGCUGAAAGCAUCUAAGCGGGAAACUUGCCUCGAGAUGAGUCUUCCCUGUCGCUUUAAGUGACCUAAAGGAACGUUUAAGACUAAGACGUUGAUAGUCUGGGUGUGUAAGCGUAGCGAUACGUUGAGCUAACCAGUACUAAUGAACCGUGAGGCUUAACCUG